ensembl:snoRNA Small nucleolar RNA U109
UUAAAGAAAUUGACUGUGUGGACAGCAUGCUAUAUACAAUAAAUGAGAAGGUAUUUUUAGGGCUGCUGACUUUUUAGUUGAGGUUAUGUGGCAGUGUAUUUCUUCUACAUUA